AAGAUCAAAGCUGAACAUAUCUCUGCAAUAAUACGGAUGCGAAUCUGCCAGGUCAGAGUUUGCCUCUUAUCCUCACAUGAAAGGAAAUCCUCAAGGCUACCAUUUGGCAAGGACUCGUAGACAAGCGUCGAUGCCUCUUUGCAUGCUCCUAGAAGAGUUGCAAGGUUGGGGUGUCUCACUUUGCUAUGGAUAGCAACCUGCAAAAUAAAUACAAAAUCAAUUAUUUACAACGAGUCGUUUUGGAAACACUAA
rnacentral:rRNA from 1 species